rnacentral:lncRNA from 1 species
GUGUGUGUUUCCACCUGUGUGUUUCCAGGUGCGUGUGUUUUCAGGUGUGUGUGUUUCCAGGUGCGUGUGUUUCCAGGUGCGUUUCUUUCCAGGUGUGUGUGCUUCCAGGUGCGUGUGUUUCCAGGUGCGUGUGUUUGCGUGUGUGUGUUUCCAGGUGCGUGUUUCCAGGUGUGUGUGUUUCCAGGUGUGUGUGUUUCCAGGUGCGUGUGUUUGCGUGUGUGUGUGUUUCCAGGUGCGUGUUUCCAGGUGUGUGUGUUUCCAGGUGCGUGUUUCCAGGUGUGUGUGUUUCCAGGUGUGUGUGUUUCCAGGUGUGUGUGUUUCCCGGGUGUGUGUUUCCAGGUGCGUGUUUCCAUGUGUGUGUGUUUCCAUGUGUGUGUGUUUCCAGGUGUGUGUGUUUCCAGGUGUGUGUGUUUCCAGGUGUGUGUGUUUCCAGGUGUGUGUGUUUCCCGGGUGUGUGUUUCCAGGUGCGUGUUUCCAUGUGUGUGUGUUUCCAGGUGUGUGUGUUUCCAUGUGGGUAUGUUGGCACCCUUGGGAGGCAUACGGGCAAAGCUCAGUCACCUGGCAUCCAGACUACAUUGGUAGACACCACGGUGCGAAGCCCCAACUGGUCCGAUUGCCAAAGUUGACAAGACUUCCUAUCAUCAGGUGCUGCUUUCCUCUACUAACAUGACACCUCACCCUAUUCGCUGCAUUACCCAUGAGGCCCUGUUAUCCUCUAUCCCGCCCCUCCUAGCCUACCCAGCCCGACCUGCCAUCCCAUCAUGUUAUGCCAUCGCGGUCACCACCGGCGAUGAUUCGCACCCCAGUCGGUGGGGGCUCUCGGUGUUUCAGAGGUGUUGGCACCACACUGCUACCAGACAAGGUGUUGUAACCACACUGCUACCAGACAAGGUGUUGUCACCCCACUGCUACCAGACAAGGUGUUGUCACCACACUGCUACCAGACAAGGUGUUGUAACCACACUGCUACCAGACAAGGUGUUGUCACCACACUGCUACCAGACAAGGUGUUGUUACCACACUGCUACCAGACAAGGUGUUGUCACCACACUG